UGUAAAAGACCUACAACACCACCGCUCAUAACAAUGAAUGAUCUACUGUUGUGUUUCCACUAUUUUCAAAACAUGAUUCCCAUCCCCUCCAAAAAUAAUAAUAACACCACAUUUAUUUUCUAAUAUUUAGCACCUGUUGGAGGGCUUUCGACCGGGGCAAUCGUUGGCAUCAGUUGUGGCUGCGUGUUGGUGGGCCUUAUUCUGAUCGGCCUUGGGAUCUACCUCUGCUGCGCCCACGACGGCUGCAUCUGGUGCGGAGAACACUGCCCCUGCUGCAGAGAACACUGCCCAUGCUGCAGAAAACCACCGAAAGAUGGAGACGAAAAUAUCGGCAUGAAUAAUAAAGGAGACGAGAGACCUUGAUUGGAGCGAAAUGGGGACAGCGAAGAGGAUCAUAAAACCGAAAGGGACCUUUCUUAAAGGACCUUUGUUUCUACCUGCGAAGAGCCCCCGAAAAUAUGUUCUUUGGAGCGUGGGACUUAAGAGUUUCAUUUCCCGAUUUAUUUUCGAGUUUCAGUACAAAAAAGAUAGAUCUCUUUUCUUAAUUUCCUUCUUCUAACAUUUCAAAAGUGAUUAACUUUUAAAUGAUUUACCGACCAAAAACAAUGGCCCACGUUUAGUAACUAAAUUGUUAAUUACAAAUUUCGAAUUACUUGCGGCUCGACAACAGCUCAAUUGUCAUUGGUGGGUUGGUCUCGCCCCAUAAUCAGUGUCGAUAAUGUAUGGACCAGGAUACAAUCUGCUCUCAAUCUGGAUCGGUUUGUACCCAGAAUAAACACAUUUUUCAGAGUGUUAUACACCCCGCCCCCACAAAAAAAAAUUACAAUGGAUUUUUUCCCAGCUCUGUUCAUCUAAAAACGGAGACGUUCUUGCUUUUACUUUAUGCUAUAUAGAUUGCUGUGUGCAUACUUCACUUUAGUGAUUAUUGUUUCAAAAGUCAACAUUUAACCAAUUGUGAAUAUCAUUCUUUCAUUAAUGAAAUUUACCUCUAGUUAAACUUAUCACUCUCUUUAUAACUCUAUGAGAAACUGUUUAACAUUGUUUACGAACAAAUGCUAAAUGUUCAUCAUUAAGUCCGCUGUACAAAAACAUAUUUAAUUUCAAUCACCAUUUUGGUGAUUUCUUUUUGUGAGUAUUUGGGAUUCUCUUCAAGGACUAUAAUGUGCUGUAAAUACAUUGCUUGUGUAGGAUUUAUAGUGUCAGAAUUUGUGGAAUUUGUGGUGUUAAGUAAUUCAUCGCUCACUCAGAAUAGACUACAUUUUACCCAGAGUGCACUUUAUACGAUUACAUUUAAAGUUUUCGCAAACAUGAGUAAUUCACCAGUGUAUGACACCUUUAUCUCAAGAUGUCGGUAGCGGAUGUGGAAACCGUAGUUACUGCAUGUGAAUAUGCCAUUGUUGCCUGUAGCAAUAGUUGUGAAAUCUACGUUAGGAAAUAGUAGGGAUAUAGUAUCUGUCUAAGUAUACAUGUACAUUACGAUAAUGAUAUUUCACCCCGCGCAGUGUCCUUACUCAGUGAUAUACAUUUUGGAAUUGAUCAUAAACAAUUUCAACCUAAAUAGUAGCUAUUGAAGGAAUUUGGUGACAUUGUAGAGUGUUGGAAAAAUUGCUAAUUUUAUAUCAACUGACAAAACUAGCGAACGAUGGGAAUGAGUAAUACUUAAUUCUGUUUGUAAAGAGGUUUUUAAAACUAAUAUUUAAUCGGCACAUUGUUAUUACUCUAUAAGUAUCGGUUAAUGGUGUGUAUCACUGAAUAUGUUGAAACAGUAUAAUUUGUACCUACAUGUAUAAAUAUUAACUAGUACAGUGUAUUUGUUUACCCAGAAAGUAUGCUUAUAAGUAUGUAGGUGUUGAAUAAGACAUUUGAAUAGGAAUGUUAGACUUUUCAAUGGCUGAACGUGAAAUUGAAGAACCUGAAAACAAACGAAGAUUCCCUUUAUUUCUAGUGCCAUAAACAAGACACUCAUAUAAUAUUUUGUAAAUAAUGCAUCGAUAAUUUUUUUUUUAAUUGCAAGUAUUUAAAAGUCGGGAUUUUGUUGGAUUGAUGGAAAUUAAUAUAUACUGGGCAGAUUUUAAUGUAGAAAUCGUCUGGAAUGGAGCCAAACAAAAACGCCUACAAUGCUUAAAUACAUAACACACGCUAUGUGUAUCAUGCACAAUGACCACUGUAGUCCCCGCCCCCAAUUUACCAUCCCUCAUCCGAAUUUUGUAGAGUAUCCGGGCGAUGGUUAGAGAAUUUGGGAACAAUUCCUUCUCAAUGCAAAAUGUAUUUCUAUAAGCUAACCAGCACAAGAUCCCUGUUCCUCACAAAUCUGCUCCCGAAUUGUAAGUAUACAUUUUAAACUUCCCAGAAUCGUCCGGUUGCAGGGGGACACAUUUGAGUUUGUUAUCUUCCCAGUCCUCGUGGUUAACCUGAAUUUGUUUGACGUGUACAUUUGCUUUCAUUUUAAAGAAUAUAGACAUUAGCCAAGAUUUGCAUAAUAUAGCGUAUUUCGUUUAAUCAGAGGGUAAUUUGUCUUUACGCUUUAGUAUAUAUUAGAGCCUUUACUGUAGCCAUGUAGACGCUAUUUUCAUUUAAAAAAAAAAAGGUUUUCUAAGUUUGAUCAUGAUGGGUGUUACUUCAACGCGUCAUUCCAACUGCGCAUACUCGAAUGAAGAUUUGGCGAUUUUCUUUCCGGGGAAAACACAGGAGAAAUUCCUGUUCUACAUCAAGGAGCAAAAGUAAUCAAAAACCUUUUGACCGCACUGUUUUUAAAGUGCAUGCAUUUUUCCGGUUUUCUAUUUUGUUUGAAAACGUUAAAGGCCAUAUCGUUCAUCUCCUUUGAUAAGAAAUGUCAAUGCUAACAUUGUAAAGUGACCCUUUCAGCUGCUGCUGUUGAAAACCAAUAAAUGAAAUAAAAUAAAUAAAUAAAAAUGUCGAAAAUGUGGUAUGUUAUAUCCUCCUGAUGAGAUUUCCUUCAUACAAAAUCGGCAAAUAUGUAUGUUGCUCGUGCGCAGUUGGAAAAGGUACGGUGUAAAUAAAACUUAAUGUAUGGAUCAUGAUAAAGUAGGUAUAGUUAUAGUAUGACGAACAAUAACAAUCGUUCAAAAAAAAAAACCCUCUACAAAGCAUUUAUCGAUAUUGUAUUUACAACAUAUUUCGUAUUUGUUUCUUUUAUGGAAGUAUAGCAUUCGUAUAGUCUGGUCCCCAGACCAAAAUAUUCUGACUAUUUAUGAUGAAUAUAAGGUCACGGCACGUGACCAAAAGGGGAGGAAUGCCUCCCGUUUUCGAAAAUGUCCGAAGUUUGCCGAAUGCAUUUCGUCGACACUCGGAUAGCGCCCGGGUAAUUCCGUGUAUAAAAUAGCUGUUAUUUACCAGCUGUGCUUAUUACAAUUUAAAAAUGAGUUGGAAAUUAAUAUUCAUUUCUUGCAUUUGAAAAAACCUUACAAUUCAAUGACGAUUUUGUGCAUCAAGUAUGCACUCAAAUCGUCCGAGGAGCUAGCUUUGCUGCGUCAUGUACUAUUUUGAAUCUGACAAUGGUUACCUAGGUGUAUAUCAAAACUCGGCGUCGUCUCCAUUUCGGCUUCGCGUGCUAUAUUGGUCCCUUACUUUGAAGAAUCCAACUCAACAGGAGUCGAUGUUUUCUUACAGAAAUAUCAAACUGUAUGCUGUAUGGAGCAAGUGAUUUUCUUUUUAUUUGAUCUGAAGUGAGGAACAGUACAAGCUUUUAACGAUAAACCUGAAGCUGAAGAAAAACCGAGCUUUUUUUAUUUUUAGUCGUGGCGGCUGCCUGACCUAAGAUUCGUCAGAAAUAAUAGUCAGAUUUUGUUGGUAUGGGAACCAGACUAGCACUCUUAUAGAUGAUCACUGUACAAGAAUUAUACCUAAUAAAGCAACAAUUAAGCACAUUAUUAACCGGAGUAGGACAAACACUUUCAUUUGAAAGAAAAAAUGGGACAAGCAGCCACACAUUGGAUAUUGUAUACAAUGGAUACAACCCAUUUUUCUUGAAAUCAAGGAAUUCGUGAAUGAUCCAGAAGAGUUGGUCUGUAAAUCAGUCUAAUCCUGCAAUUGUGAUUGUUCUUUCGCCGUUUAUAAAUGAUAUUGUCGGUAUUGCAUGACUGUAUUUUGCAUCACAGUGUAAAUGGGUUAUUAAAGUGGCAGCUGCACCUGAUAAAGACAGUUCAUUUGUUAGGUGGCAGUUUUUGUUGUGAUC